GACGAACGCUGGCGGCGUGCUUAACACAUGCAAGUCGAACGGAAAGGCCCUGCUUUUGUGGGGUGCUCGAGUGGCGAACGGGUGAGUAACACGUGAGUAACCUGCCCUUGACUUUGGGAUAACUUCAGGAAACUGGGGCUAAUACCGGAUAGGAGCUCCUGCUGCAUGGUGGGGGUUGGAAAUUUUCGGCGGGUGGGGAUGGACUCGCGGCUUAUCAGCUUGUUGGUGGGGUAGUGGCUUACCAAGGCUUUGACGGGUAGCCGGCCUGAGAGGGUGACCGGCCACAUUGGGACUGAGAGAGGGCGCAGAGUGCUACAGGAGGCAGCAGUGGGGAAUAUUGCACAAUGGGCGGAAGCCUGAUGAAGAAACGCCGCGUGCGGGAAGACGGCCUUCGGGUUGUGAACCGCUUUCGCCUGAGACGAAGCGUGAGUGACGGUAAUGGGUGAAGAAGCACCGGCUAACUACGUG
rnacentral:rRNA from 1 species